AACGUCCAUUGCACGGCGGGGGCGGCGGAAGGUGCCCCUGGCUGGCCCGUGAGAGCUGCCAUGGACCGGGCUGGCACUGCCGUGGCGAUCCCUUCCCCGGAGGAGCUGUGACGAGCACGGGGAUGCUGUGAUGGACGGCGACACGAGAGUUACAGCGCAAAACGAGUCGUUUUCGUGUUUUUAURUGCAAUAAAAGAUAAUAUGCGGAAAA